rnacentral:rRNA from 1 species
GAUGAACGCUAGCUACAGGCUUAACACAUGCAAGUCGAGGGGAAACGGCAUUGAAGCUUGCUUCGAUGGUCGUCGGCCGGCGCACGGGUGAGUAACGCGUAUCCAACCUGCCUCUGACCAAGGGAUAACCCGUCGAAAGUCGGCCUAAUACCUUAUGCAGUCGUCGGAAGUCAUCUGAUGACGACGAAAGAUUUCAUCGGUGAGAGAUGGGGAUGCGUCUGAUUAGCUUGUUGGCGGGGUAACGGCCCACCAAGGCAACGAUCAGUAGGGGUUCUGAGAGGAAGGUCCCCCACAUUGGAACUGAGACACGGUCCAAACUCCUACGGGAGGCAGCAGUGAGGAAUAUUGGUCAAUGGGCGAGAGCCUGAACCAGCCAAGUAGCGUGCAGGAUGACGGCCCUAUGGGUUGUAAACUGCUUUUAUGCGGGGAUAAAGUGAGGGACGUGUCCUUCAUUGCAGGUACCGCAUGAAUAAGGGCCGGCUAAUUCCGUG